UAUCCGAGUAACAACUGUCAAAUCACAGAGAACACCUGUGUAAUUUCUAAAAGUUAGGAACUAUAAGUGUUAUUUUAUAAAACCACAAGUACUAUCCAGGCAUUUUACUCUCUAGCAUUUUAUCCAUAGACUAUGGGUUAUGGGGCUUGGGUUGGUAUGUGGGUUGGGGGAAAACGCCCAAGCCACCACACCGAGUGGGCUUGGGUUGGGGCGUGGUCCUUGGGGCUUGGGUUUGAAGCCGGGCGUGGAGCGGGUCUAGCAAGGUGACAUGGCGGGCUUUCAAUGACCAAACCAAACUAGCCGUUGGCCAACGGCUAUGUUAAAAAAAUUAUUUUUUCACUAUAAAUAUCACACUUCAAUUCCUAUUUUUACCACAUUCAACCACAAUACACUCCACAUCUUUUAUAAUCAUCUUCAAUUCUCCUUCUACAAAACGAAAAAAUGCAUCCUCAUAAUCGUGGUUAUGACCCGAACAACCUGUUUGCAUUCCAAGCAACCCAAAAAUAAAUAGUGACCGUUUGCCAUUUUUUAUUGUUAAAAAGCAAAUUUAUAUACUAUUAAUUUGAAACAUUUAUGUGCAUGAUUUGUUGUAAGUUGUGUUUAAAUACUUGUAUCAUAAUUAAAUAUAGGUUGUAAGUUGUGCUUAAGUGGUUGUACCUUAAUCAAAUAAUAAUGGUUUAAUUACCUUACCAAAUUCAAUAUGUUUUGUAAGCAUGUAUGGUUGUAAAUUGUGCUUAAGUGGUUGUACCCUAAUCAAAUAUUGGUUUCAUUAUCUUACCAUAUUUAAUCGGUUUGACCCAUUCAAAGUUGUGUUCUUUUAUUUAUAAUAGAUUAUUAUUAUUUAUAAUAAUCUAAUUAAUUUAGCCAAAAUCUUGUAUAAAUAUAAUUUGCAACAUAUUGAUACAAUGGUUGUUAUAAUGUAUGCAUUGUGGUAAAUGAUAUAUAUUAUAUAUAGAUUACGAUGAACCUGUCAAACGGGAAAAAAUAGACGUGGGUUCAUCGUAACGCACGAGUCUUAUAUCAACUUAGUUAUUUUAUUAUAUGUUUUACGUUUCGGUUAAAUUUUUUCGCAUUAACACCGCAACUUUAGUGUUUGUGGUCACUAAAAAUAGUGUGGCAUUAAUGCGCGUCCCGCCGCAACGAAGA
rnacentral:lncRNA from 1 species